rnacentral:rRNA from 1 species
GCUUUUGGGGCGGCUACACAUGCAGUCGAGCGGAUGAGGGAGCUUGCUCCCUGAUUCAGCGGCGGACGGGUGAGUAAUGCCUAGGAAUCUGCCUGGUAGUGGGGGACAACGUUUCGAAAGGAACGCUAAUACCGCAUACGUCCUACGGGAGAAAGCAGGGGACCUUCGGGCCUUGCGCUAUCAGAUGAGCCUAGGUCGGAUUAGCUAGUUGGUGAGGUAAUGGCUCACCAAGGCGACGAUCCGUAACUGGUCUGAGAGGAUGAUCAGUCACACUGGAACUGAGACACGGUCCAGACUCCUACGGGAGGCAGCAGUGGGGAAUAUUGGACAAUGGGCGAAAGCCUGAUCCAGCCAUGCCGCGUGUGUGAAGAAGGUCUUCGGAUUGUAAAGCACUUUAAGUUGGGAGGAAGGGUUGCUGAUUAAUACUCUGCAAUUUUGACGUUACCGACAGAAUAAGCACCGGCUAACUCUGUGCCAGCAGCCGCGGUAAUACAGAGGGUGCAAGCGUUAAUCGGAAUUACUGGGCGUAAAGCGCGCGUAGGUGGUUUGUUAAGUUGGAUGUGAAAGCCCCGGGCUCAACCUGGGAACUGCAUCCAAAACUGGCAAGCUAGAGUAGGGCAGAGGGUGGUGGAAUUUCCUGUGUAGCGGUGAAAUGCGUAGAUAUAGGAAGGAACACCAGUGGCGAAGGCGACCACCUGGGCUCAUACUGACACUGAGGUGCGAAAGCGUGGGGAGCAAACAGGAUUAGAUACCCUGGUAGUCCACGCCGUAAACGAUGUCAACUAGCCGUUGGAAUCCUUGAGAUUUUAGUGGCGCAGCUAACGCAUUAAGUUGACCGCCUGGGGAGUACGGCCGCAAGGUUAAAACUCAAAUGAAUUGACGGGGGCCCGCACAAGCGGUGGAGCAUGUGGUUUAAAUUCGAAGCAACGCGAAGAACCCUUACCAGGCCUUGACAUCCAGUGAACUUACCAGAGAUGGUUUGGUGCCUUCGGCAACACUGAGACAGGUGCUGCAUGGACGGUCGUCAGCUCGUGUCGUGAGA